UCGGGAUAACUGCUCUUUACAAUUAUUUGUAUGUGUAUAUGGUUUUUGUUUUAUGUGGUUAAUAACAGUACGCGAUUUGUUAUUUAAAGUACAAGCGCUGAAGACUAGGCAGAAAACGGGACUCGGCCGUGAGUUUGCGCAGGACGCGGCUAGCUGAGGCAUGACGUCAUCGGCCUUAGUGCAGACAUCUUCCUGUCAGAAGGCACCCAGCGCUGAGCCCUGCCAGGACAUUCCAAGCCAUUCCACGCCAUCUGGGCUCUAAGUAGUGAGUGUGAACUGAGGAUUUUUGGCUCCUCCAUCGCUGUUUGCUGCUCCAGCCCUAUUGUGGAUCCUCGGCAGCAUUUCCACUUAUUUUUCAGACUCAGUUGGUUUUCACACAAUUAAUUCACACCUAAAUAGUUUUUCCACAUAGAUUUUAGCACUGGAACAGCAGACAUUUCCAUGAAGGGGCGGGGGUAGUUUUUCACCCUCUGCUGUCAUGUGCUUUUAUCAUUGAUUGGUGAUGUUUCUCUCUGCUCCAACCUGACACUGACCUACUUAUAAAAGCCACCUUUUCCAUCCUUACUCUUUCGUUACCUACGGCCGUCCUCCUCAUGCUAUGGUGUCUUGUCAGGGCAGGAUUGUCAGUCACCCAUUGCAAACAGGUCUAAACAGAAGUGCCAGACGAAAUCUACCACCAGCUUGUUGGCCAGCAGUGAUACAGAAGAGCAGAGGUGUUAGUGGAGGAGGAUCACAGUGGUGACGACGGCAAUGACACUAUUUCAAACUGUGCGGAAGAAGGCAACAUGAACCACUUCUGUACCUUACCCAGAAAAUGACAGACAAACCUGAAUGAACAAUGAUAUAGUGCUGAAAUAGAAGGCACUACUGAGGAGACCCGACGAUCCUUUGGGGUCCAGCUGGUGUUUAUGAUGUAGGUGAAUCAAAGCCUUUGGAUGUCCAAUUUACAAUAUUGCCACGCUGGAAAAGAAAGUCUGAAGCUUCAAAGAUAGGAUCAUCAUUGAGCAGGAAAAAAAUGGAACCAAAGUAAGGAGUCUGCAUUAGGGAAAGACAAAAGUGAACUACUUAUAUAACUCUGGAAAAAAAUUAGGGACCACGGCAAAAUUUUCAGUUUCACUCAUUUCUCAAUUUAUGGAUAUGAACCUGUGUAAAAUAUACAUUUUUUUGUGCAAACUCCAGCCUGGCUCUUCCCUGCUUCUCAUUAAUGUAGGGCUUCUUCCUUGCUUUAUGGGACUUCUAGAAGCCUGUAAUGAUUUUUCCUAGCAGUGCACUUCACAACACUUUAUGUUUCCCAUUUUUUCUAAAGGUUACUUUAGGUCAUCCUCCAGAUAAGUUAACGGUCAUCUCUGGCAUUAGAAAGUCGCUUCUGCCCUUUACUUGGCUGAUUUCUGGUCAUUCCCAGUGUCUCCUGCUUCACCUUCACCUGUGUACUGCUGUCUUAGACAUUUUGAACCUGGAAGCAACCUGCUGCUCAGCGUAGCUUCUGCCAGCAGAACCACGAUUAAACCAGGAUUUAAAAAAAAUGUAUAGAGUGGUCUCUUAAUUGUUAGUCAACUUCUUUGUCAUUAUUGAAUUUAAAUGGACUGGCCUGGGACACUUUCAGUUAGGUGAACACAUCUUUAGCUACUGAGAAAUUGGACAACAUAGAAAAAAUGGUGUGGCUUUCAUAGUCAGGAAGGGCACUGAAAAGACUGCAACUGGAUACAAUGCUGCGGCUGAGGGAUAUUUCCCCUCAUCCCUUCAAUAUGACAGUUAUACAGGCUCAUGCCCCGAUAAGUGCUGCUGACAAAGAGGAAAAUUCUAAAGUUCUAUGAGCAGAUUCAGACUGAAAUACGCAGGAAAUGCAGCGAGAUAUGUACCUGGCGACGGGAGACCGGGAUGCCAUAGUAAGAAGUGAGAAGGUGAGAAACUCAGUUGGCUGGUGUAGCCUUGGACGAGCUAAGCUGGAACCAAGCAGCACUGACUAAUCAGACCCUGCGAAUCCAACAACCUCUUCAUUGCCAAUAUAUUCUUCAAGCAACCUAGACAUCAGCAGAUAGUUCACAGAAAUCAAACAGAACACGUUUUCGAUACCAAACUAUGCAAGAGCCCAGUUCAAACAGCAAAGAAUUCCGUUUGCCGAAGAUUAUGAACAGAUAAUGAACUAUGUAUGUGUGACCUCCAAGUGAAGCUGAAAAGGAACAUGGUCAUCUGACUUACCCUGAGAGUAUGCCCUCUGACUUCAGAGAAAACACCAGAAACUGGUUAGAAAUGUUGGGCCUACACAAGAGAGACAGAAUUCAAAGAAAAUCUGAGAAAAAAAACUGGUCAAAAUGCAGGAGCCAACAAAAUCAAAGUGGAUGACAGAAAGAACAGUGGAACCUGCAAAUAAGUCAAAAUCAGGAAAAGAUUAAAGUUCUAAAUCACAAAUUCCCAAAAGCAUCUAGGAGAGACAAAUAUUACGGAAUCUACAAAGUCAUUGUAGCAGGAAACACAUCUCAGUGUUUUUCAGGAGAUUAAAAUGAAGGUCCAGGCCCCGAGUAGCACACAGAAAGACAUCAACAGGCAAAUAACUGGACUUCUUAUAUUCAGCACGGGGUCUUCUGGUGUUUCUCCAUCAAAAGCUCCUGCCCAGCCUAGAGCAGCUGGCUUUCGAUGGCUGACUUCACAUCCUGCCCUCUCUGCCAUCCCUCGACCUUUCGGGGGCGACAGUGGCGUGACGGAUGGGAUCCCAGAUUCAUGCAGACUUCCCCGGUGUGUAUUUUGUGACAGAGCUUCAUGGGGGGCCACAGCUGUCACACAAACAACCCCCCCAACUCCCAUUACCAUUAGUAUUAGCAGGAGUAUGAGAUAAAGGAAAGGCUUCCAGCCAUUUCUGGGGACGUGACUGAUGCCCAUCUGCAAAGCAACCUGAUGGCCCUUUUGUUGAUAAAAGAUUAUUGAUAAAUCGUCCUCAGACCUGAGAUCAGUAUGUGUCACCUGCAAGGAAAAGGCUGUUUAGCUUCUUUGGAACUGAAAACAAAAAAGGUUCAAAAUUUAGUACAGUGUUCCUCAGUUCUGGUCCUAGAGGGCCAGAAUCUCAGAGUUUGCAGAUUUCCCUGCUCAAACACACCUGAUUCAGCUAAUUACCAGGUUUCAUAGGUAUGUCUGACCAGAGAAAUCUGCAAAUUGUGUUGCAAAAUGGCCCUCCAGCACUAGAAUUGGGGAAACCUGAUUUUGUGUAAUUUGGAAUGUUACCCAGUGAUUACUGAUGAAAAGGGUUAAUGUCUGAAGGUGCUGUCCUUGGAUAAGCAGCUCUUUACCCCCAACCUGAAUUCUCCCCUGCUGCUCAAUCUAAGGCUAAUACUAACCUUGCGCUAAUGUUAACAGCUACUUAUUGGUUAGUUUAAGCUGCAAAGAGCACUGAGCACCUCUGAGAUGUCUACUGUAGUAUCUGAACACCUCUGGGAUGUUUGCUGGGGUGUUGUGAUUUUCUUUAAUCAUCACUUUUUAAUAGGAAAAUGGAAAACAAACCAGGACUACUGAAAAUGACUUACUGUGAUGAUGCUGAGAGGUGGGAGAGUGUCAGGGCUGAGGUCCUAAAUUCUUUCCUCAGGCCUUUUCUCUCCAUUAACUGAUGAGAAGAAAACUCUGUGACAAAGUGAUCAGACACUGUAAGGCACCGAGGGGCCAUGAUACGGCUUUAGGGGCGUGAGGACAAACGCCCCGGUGUGGUGUGAUGAUGUCAUCAGUUCUGUGAGGAAAUGACUGGUUCUUACUGAAAUAAAAAUAAUGACACUUUAUUGA